GAACGCACCUUGCACCCUUUGGCAUUCCGAAGGGUAUGCUCGUUUGAGUGUCAUGUAGACUCAAUCCCUCGGGUUUCCGAGGAGAUUGGACUUGGGUGUUGCCGCUCUGCCGGCUCGCCUUAAAAGACUUAGCGGGAUAGCACCGUAGUCGGCGUAAUAAGUUUCGUCGGUGAAGGUUGUGAUGACUGCUUACAAUCGCCCUCGGGCAAUUUUUGACUCUGACCUCAAAUCAGGUAGGACUACCCGCUGAACUUAAG
rnacentral:misc_RNA from 1 species